ACAGUUCACCAAGUAUAUAUUAUAUACUGUACAUAAAAUAUCAAACCAAAAUAUAUAUUAUAUAAUGUACAUAAAAUAUCAAAGUACACCAGUACAUGAAAUAUCAAAUUACACCAAAUAUAUAUUAUAUACUGUACAUAAAAUAUCAAAUUUCACCAAAUAUAUAUUAUAUACUGCCCAUAAAAUAUCAAUCUUCACCAAAUAUAUAUUAUAUACUGUACAUAUAAUAUCAAAUUACACCAAAUAUCUAUUAUAUACUGU
rnacentral:lncRNA from 1 species